AAUCUUGCGCAAUGGGCGAAAGCCUGACGCAGCCAUGCCGCGUGAAUGAUGAAGGUCNNNGGAUUNUAAAAUUCUUUCACCGGNGUANAUAAUGACGUUACCCGGAGAAGAAGCCCCGGCUACCUUCGUGCCAGCAGCCGCGGUAAUACGAAGGGGGCUAGCGUUGCUCGGAAUUACUGGGCGUAAAGGGCGCGUAGGCGGAUCGUUAAGUCAGGGGUGAAAUCCCGGGGCUCAACCUCGGAACUGCCCUUGAUACUGGCGAUCUUGAGUAUGAGAGAGGUAUGUGGAACUCCGAGUGUAGAGGUGAAAUUCGUAGAUAUUCGGAAGAACACCAGUGGCGAAGGCAGCCCCCUGGGAUAAUACUGACGCUCAUGCACGAAAGCGUGGGGAGCAAACA
rnacentral:rRNA from 1 species